AUUGAACGCUGGCGGCAGGCCUAACACAUGCAAGUCGAGCGGGGUUUUCGGACCUAGCGGCGGACUGGUGAGUAAUGCGUAGGAAGCUGCCCGAUAGAGGGGGAUACCAGUUGGAAACGACUGUUAAUACCGCAUAAUGUCUACGGACCAAAGUGUGGGACCUUCGGGCCACAUGCUAUCGGAUGCGCCUACGUGGGAUUAGCUAGUUGGUGAGGUAAUGGCUCACCAAGGCGACGAUCUCCAGCUGGUUUGAGAGGAUGAUCAGCCACACUGGAACUGAGACACGGUCCAGACUCCUACGGGAGGCAGCAGUGGGGAAUAUUGGACAAUGGGCGCAAGCCUGAUCCAGCCAUGCCGCGUGUGUGAAGAAGGCCUUCGGGUUGUAAAGCACUUUCAGCGAGGAGGAAGGGUGGUGUGUUAAUAGCACAUCAUUUUGACGUUACUCGCAGAAGAAGCACCGGCUAACUCUGUGCCAGCCGCCGCGGUAACAC
rnacentral:rRNA from 1 species